rnacentral:rRNA from 1 species
UGGGGAAUAUUGGACAAUGGGGGCAACCCUGAUCCAGCAAUGCCGCGUGUGUGAAGAAGGUCUUCGGAUUGUAAAGCACUUUUGGCAGGGACGAUGAUGACGGUACCUGCAGAAUAAGCCCCGGCUAACUUCGUGCCAGCAGCCGCGGUAAUACGAAGGGGGCUAGCGUUGCUCGGAAUGACUGGGCGUAAAGGGCGCGUAGGCGGCUGUCACAGUCAGAAGUGAAAUUCCUGGGCUCAACCUGGGGACUGCUUUUGAUACGUGGCGGCUUGAGUGGGGAAGAGGGUUGCGGAAUUUCCAGUGUAGAGGUGAAAUUCGUAGAUAUUGGAAAGAACACCGGUGGCGAAGGCGGCAACCUGGUCCUUGACUGACGCUGAGGCGCGAAAGCGUGGGGAGCAAACAGGAUUAGAUACCCUGGUAGUCCACGCUGUAAACGAUGUGUGCUGGAUGUUGGGGAACUAUGUUUCUCAGUGUCGUAGCUAACGCGAUAAGCACACCGCCUGGGGAGUACGGCCGCAAGGUUG